rnacentral:rRNA from 1 species
UACGUAGGGUGCGAGCGUUGUCCGGAAUUAUUGGGCGUAAAGAGCUCGUAGGCGGUUUGUCGCGUCUGCUGUGAAAACUCGGGGCUUAACCCCGGGCCUGCAGUGGGUACGGGCAGACUAGAGGUAGGUAGGGGAGAUCGGAAUUCCUGGUGUAGCGGUGAAAUGCGCAGAUAUCAGGAGGAACACCGGUGGCGAAGGCGGAUCUCUGGGCCUUACCUGACGCUGAGGCGCGAAAGCUAGGGGAGCGAACAGG